GAUCUAGCCAUGGGCAGGUUGAAGGUUGGGUAACACUAACUGGAGGACCGAACCGACUAAUGUUGAAAAAUUAGCGGAUGACCUGUGGCUGGGGGUGAAAGGCCAAUCAAACCGGGAGAUAGCUGGUUCUCCCCGAAAGCUAUUUAGGUAGCGCCUCGUGAAUUCAUCUCCGGGGGUAGAGCACUGUUUCGGCUAGGGGGCCAUCCCGGCUUACCAACCCGAUGCAAACUGCGAAUACCGGAGAAUGUUAUCACGGGAGACACACGGCGGGUGCUAACGUCCGUCGUGAAGAGGGAAACAACCCAGACCGCCAGCUAAGGUCCCAAAGUCAUGGUUAAGUGGGAAACGAUGUGGGAAGGCCCAGACAGCCAGGAUGUUGGCUUAGAAGCAGCCAUCAUUUAAAGAAAGCGUAAUAGCUCACUGGUCGAGUCGGCCUGCGCGGAAGAUGUAACGGGGCUAAACCAUGCACCGAAGCUGCGGCAGCGACGCUGAUGCGUUGUUGGGUAGGGGAGCGUUCUGUAAGCCUGUGAAGGUGGCCUGUGAGGGUUGCUGGAGGUAUCAGAAGUGCGAAUGCUGACAUAAGUAACGAUAAAGCGGGUGAAAAGCCCGCUCGCCGGAAGACCAAGGGUUCCUGUCCAACGUUAAUCGGGGCAGGGUGAGUCGACCCCUAAGGCGAGGCCGAAAGGCGUAGUCGAUGGGAAACGGGUUAAUAUUCCCGUACUUGGUGUUACUGCGAAGGGGGGACGGAGAAGGCUAUGUUGGCCGGGCGACGGUU
rnacentral:rRNA from 1 species